UUAAUGGUAAUGAACCGGAGAGUAGCUAUCGUGGAUUAUUAAGAGAGUCUCGCAAAGUUGGGAAGAGAUUGAUUGCGAUAGUGAACCACACCGGUGAGCCGACCAGCUGAAAGGUUAUAAUUAGGCUGCUCCGGGACCACUCGUUAUCAGGGCUGAAUUUUAUCCAGCAUGAGGAUCGUUUCGCAAGGGGCGAUCGAAUUUGAGGUGGGACCACGCGAAAAGCGUCCUCUUU
rfam:Lactobacillus mucosae LM1, complete genome.